rnacentral:rRNA from 1 species
CUCGGCGACUCUAUCGCAGGGGUCACACCUCUUCCCAUUCCGAACAGAGCAGUUAAGACCUGUGGAGCUGAUGGUACUGCGUGCGUAGGUGCGUGGGAGAGUAAGUCGUUGCCGGGG